AUUGAACGCUGGCGGCAGGCCUAACACAUGCAAGUCGAGCGACCGGCGGACGGGUGAGUAAUGUAUGGGGGCUGCCCGAUAGAGGGGGAUAACUACUGGAAGCGGUAGCUAAUACCGCAUACAAUUGGAUACCCCCUAUGGGAUUAGCUGGUUGGGGGGGUAAUGGCCUACCAAGGCGACGAUCCCUAGCUGGUCUGGGAGGAUGAUCAGCCACACUGGGACUGAGACACGGCCCAGACUCCUACGGAGGCAGUAGUGGGGAAUAUUGCACAAUGGGCGAAAGCCUGAUGCAGCCAUGCCGCGUGUAUGAAGAAGGCCCUAGGUUUGUAAAGCACUUUAAGUUGGGAGGCGUUACCGACAGAAUAAGCACCGGCUAACUCCGUGCCAGCAGCCGCGGUAAUAC
rnacentral:rRNA from 1 species